rnacentral:rRNA from 1 species
UACGAAGGGGGCUAGCGUUGCUCGGAAUCACUGGGCGUAAAGGGCGCGUAGGCGGCCAUUCAAGUCGGGGGUGAAAGCCCAGGGCUCAACCCUGGAAUUGCCUUCGAUACUGUUUGGCUAGAGACCGGAAGAGGUAAGUGGAACUGCGAGUGUAGAGGUGAAAUUCGUAGAUAUUCGCAAGAACACCAGUGGCGAAGGCGGCUCACUGGCCCGAUACUGACGCUGAGGUGCGAAAGCGUGGGGAGCAAACAGG